AACGAACGCUGGCGGCAUGCCUAACACAUGCAAGUCGAACGAGACCUUCGGGUCUAGUGGCGCACGGGUGCGUAACGCGUGGGAACCUGCCCUUAGGUUCGGAAUAACUCCCCGAAAGGGGUGCUAAUACCGGAUAAUGUCUUCGGACCAAAGAUUUAUCGCCUUUGGAUGGGCCCGCGUUGGAUUAGCUAGUUGGUAGGGUAAAAGCCUACCACGGCGACGAUCCAUAGCUGGUCUGAGAGGAUGAUCAGCCAAACUGGGACUGAGACACGGCCCAGACUCCGACGGGAGGCAGCAGUGGGGAAUAUUGGACAAUGGGCGAAAGCCUGAUCCAGCAAUGCCGCGUGAGUGAUGAAGGCCUUAGGGUUGUAAAGCUCUUUUACCCGGGAUGAUAAUGACAGUACCGGGAGAAUAAGCUCCGGCUAACUCCGUG
rnacentral:rRNA from 1 species